rnacentral:misc_RNA from 1 species
UUUUCCGGUUAAAUCGCCAUCAUGGGUAUAUCUCGUGAUAAAUGGCACAAGAGGAGGAAGACGGGUGGGCGUAUGACCCAGAUCCGCAAGAAGAGAAAAAAAAGAGGAAGCUGUACUGAAGAAAUUGGAGUCGGCCUCCAAAAAGACAAAGAGAAAGUAUGCCGAGAGAGAAAAGCUGGCCAAGGUUGAACAUGCCCUGGACGAUCAAUUCUCAGCUGGACGAGUUCUAGCUAAAGUGGCAUCCCGCCCAGGACAGUGUGGUCGAUGUGACGGUUACAUUUUGGAGGGAAAAGAACUCGAGUUCUACCAGAGAAAACUUAAAACUAAGAAGGGAAAGUAAACAUGUGAUGCCAUUAUUUAAAAUAAAAAAAACUCCUC